ACAACUCCCCCACCUGGGGGAGAUACCAGGAUCACUAAGGUGGUUUCUCUCCCAAGGGGAGAACUCAUCCAUUGCACUCGGGUGUCUGACCCCCCGCGAUUUCCCCUCGGGAAACUGGAGGGUGUAAGUGGUGGGGACUGGGUUGGGUCUCCCCCGAU